rnacentral:lncRNA from 1 species
GUCUUGUAUUAUCCUUGGCGGUGUAAAGCAAGUGUUGCAUUCUCUUUUGUUUGGAACAUUGGAGCAAAACAUGUUUUUUCUGCCUCCGGCCCCUACCACAGUGUAUUUACACAGACACUCUUCUUGGCAUUUGGACUGUAUUUUGGGCUUCUCUGUUUUCAUACCCUAAGUUUCUGGUCAUCGGUUCUCUAGUUAGCAUGAGCCUCCUUUCCUCAUCCAUUUCUUCUUCUUUCUUCUUUUUUGUUUGGUCCAGGCACGGCCAAAGCUAACAAGAGAACAGAGCAAUAGGUUUCUUAUUCUGAAGAGUGUCACAUUCCAGGCCUACCAUGAGCCUUUUUUCUGGAGGAAUUGCAAGUUAACAUUUGUCAAUGGGAUUGUUCUGAGAAGCUGGAUUAUUUGCCAACCACCUUCUGCCCAAGGAAGGAUUUUAAACACUAGCCCAGACACAGAUCAUAUCCCAACACAAACAUACCAUCUGAUUAUCUUCACACUCCAUGCUGGCCCUGUCCCCAGUGAAAGGUGAGUUUUAUUGCUGCACAGAAAGAUUUAAUACAGCAGUUUUAUAGUUGGCUUGUUCUUACCCAUGCUGGCUCUUGUGGUACCUGAUACAAUUCAGAGCCCUGAUACAACACAGCAGUUCCCACAAAAAUGGCAGU